CGGCGAGUGAAGCGGCAACAGCUCAAAUUUGAAAUCUGGCGUCUUUGGCGUCCGAGUUGUAAUUUGCAGAGGGCGCUUUGGCAUUGGCAGCGGUCCAAGUUCCUUGGAACAGGACGUCACAGAGGGUGAGAAUCCCGUACGUGGUCGCUAGCCUUUACCGUGUAAAGCCCCUUCGACGAGUCGAGUUGUUUGGGAAUGCAGCUCUAAAUGGGAGGUAAAUUUCUUCUAAAGCUAAAUACUGGCCAGAGACCGAUAGCGCACAAGUAGAGUGAUCGAAAGAUGAAAAGCACUUUGGAAAGAGAGUUAAAAAGCACGUGAAAUUGUUGAAAGGGAAGCGCUUGCAGCCAGACUUGCCUGUAGUUGCUCAUCCGGGUUUCUACCCGGUGCACUCUUCUAUAGGCAGGCCAGCAUCAGUUUGGGCGGUUGGAUAAAGGUCUCUGUCAUGUACCUCCUUUCGGGGAGAACUUAUAGGGGAGACGACAUGCAACCAGCCUGGACUGAGGUCCGCGCAUCUGCUAGGAUGCUGGCGUAAUGGCUGUAAGCGGCCCGUCUUGAAACACGGACCAAGGAGUCUAACAUCUAUGCGAGUGUUUGGGUGUCAAGCCCGAGCGCGUAAUGAAAGUGAACGGAGGUGGGAACCUUUCGGGGUGCACCAUCGACCGAUCCUGAUGUCUUCGGAUGGAUUUGAGUAAGAGCAUAGCUGUUGGGACCCGAAAGAUGGUGAACUAUGCUUGAAUAGGGUGAAGCCAGAGGAAACUCUGGUGGAGGCUCGCAGCGGUUCUGACGUGCAAAUCGAUCGUCAAAUUUGGGCAUAGGGGCGAAAGACUAAUCGAACUAUCUAGUAGCUGGUU
rnacentral:rRNA from 2 species